rnacentral:misc_RNA from 1 species
GAUGAAGAACGUAGCGAAAUGCGAUAAGUAAUGUGAAUUGCAGAAUUCAGUGAAUCAUCGAGUCUUUGAACGCACAUUGCGCCCCCUGGUAUUCCGGGGGGCAUGCCUGUCCGAGCGUCAUUGCUGCCCUCAAGCACGGCUUGUGUGUUGGGCCUCCGUCCUCCUCCCGGGGGACGGGCCCGAAAGGCGGCGGCGGCACCGCGUCCGGUCCUCGAGCGUAUGGGGCUUCGUCACCCGCUCUUGUAGGCCCGGCCGGCGCUUGCCGACACAUCAAUCUUUUUUCCAGGUUGACCUCGGAUCAGGUAUGGAUACCCGCUGAACUUAAGCAUAUCAAUAAGCGGAGGA